UAUAUAAUUCAAAUCCACAUUUUUAGGUCUAUUCAGACUUUAAAUGAAAAAAAAAUGUCACCUUAGUGUCACGGGCCGCUCAAAUUUGCCACCAAUGAAGGCUAAAUUAGCGCGCACAGGUACGCUAAGUAAAAGACCGGCCAAAGGUGGAGUGCGCUAAGCAACAAGGCAUAAAAGCUUUCUAGACCUAGGCAAGCCACUCUAUAAAAUAGGGUAUGACACCCACCAUUUUGCUCGACACCACACCACACACUAAGCAACUCAAGCAUCCUUGUCAAGCUUUCUUGUAUUCUCUCUUGUGAGUAAUAAAAUUCUCUUUAACCAUAUUACUUUUUCUUCUUUCUAGCUUUCUCCCAAGCAUUCUUCCUUAGUCAGCUUGAGAAGUUCAAUAGGCUUACUUAACAACUAUUGUGCUAAAAGUUGUUUAAGUGUCGUAAGAGUUACUAUGCAACAAACUCAUCAUGUGACAUUAGUCCAUGCACCUUUUGAAGAAGUAAUUUGAUGGGUCAAGCUGCCACUAUAGAUUUACCCAUUAAAGCCCAACCAAAAUAUUAGUACUUUG
rnacentral:lncRNA from 1 species